AGGAAUGUAUAGCAAUAGCUAGUUGCAUCAUUGUAAAUAUGAUGCAAGAUUGNCUAUGUUGAAUAAAAUUCUAGGUAGAAUUAUGAUAAUGACAUUGUCUGCCUAUGUGUCUUGACCAAAUUACGUGCCAGCAGUCGCGGUAAUACGUAGAAGACUAGUGUUAUUCAUGUUUAAUCGGUUUAAAGGGUACCUAGACGGCAGAUCAAGCUUUACGAGCAGGAAAAAGAAAAAGGGCUAAUUUGCUAGAGUUACUUACGAGGGGGUUUUAAAGUACUGCUGGUGUAGAGAUGAAAUUCUGUCAUACCUCUUUUCGUAAGAAAAAUAAUGGCACAGGUAUAGGCGAAGGCAUCCCCUUAUGUGAUAACUGACGUUGAGGGACGAAGGCUUUAUUUAAUGAACAGGAUUAGAUACCCCAGUAGUGGAAGCAGAAAAUGAUGAAUGUCAUAGAUUAGCUAGAUAGGUUCAUUCUAUAAAUGAAAGUGUAAGCAUUCCACCUCAUGAGUAAUUUGGCAACAUUGGAAUUGAAAUCAUUAGACCGUUUCUGAAACCAGUAGUGAAGUAUGUUGUUUAAUUUGAUGAUCCGCAAAAAACCUUACCACAAUUUGAAUAUUUAUAUUUUUUUUUAUUGUUAUCUUCUUAAUUUUGUUCCUUUUUUUUUUUUUACAGAGAUAAUAAAGUAUUAAAGAAAAGAGGAAAAAAACUAAGCUAGAGGCAAUAACAUAUAUUUACAAGCGUUGCACGGCUGUCUUCAGUUAAUGUCGUGAGACUUUGGUUAGAUCCAUUAAAUUAACGUAAACCCUUACUUUAUUUUUAGAUAGAGUUGUUCCCCACUAUAUUGGAUUCGAU
rnacentral:rRNA from 1 species